rnacentral:rRNA from 1 species
GAUGAACGCUGGCGGCGUGCUUAAUACAUGCAAGUCGAGCGAACAGACGAGGAGCUUGCUCCUCUGACGUUAGCGGCGCACGGGUGAGUAACACGUGGAUAACCUACCUAUAAGACUGGGAUAACUUCGGGAAACCGGAGCUAAUACCGGAUAAUAUAUUGAACCGCAUGGUUCAAUAGUGAAAGACGGCUUUGCUGUCACUUAUAGAUGGAUCCGCGCCGCAUUAGCUAGUUGGUAAGGUAACGGCUUACCAAGGCAACGAUGCGUAGCCGACCUGAGAGGGUGAUCGGCCACACUGGAACUGAGACACGGUCCAGACUCCUACGGGAGGCAGCAGUAGGGAAUCUUCCGCAAUGGGCGAAAGCCUGACGGAGCAACGCCGCGUGAGUGAUGAAGGUCUUCGGAUCGUAAAACUCUGUUAUUAGGGAAGAACAAAUGUGUAAGUAACUAUGCACGUCUUGACGGUACCUAAUCAGAAAGCCACGGCUAACUACGUG